rnacentral:rRNA from 1 species
UACGUAGGGGGCAAGCGUUGUCCGGAUUUAUUGGGCGUAAAGAGCGUGUAGGCGGCCUGACAGGUCAGCUGUGAAAACUCGAGGCUCAACCUCGAGACGUCGGUUGAAACCAUCUGGCUAGAGUCCGGAAGAGGAGUGUGGAAUUCCCGGUGUAGCGGUGAAUGCGUAGAUAUCAGGAGGAACACCUGUGGUGUAGACAGCUUACUGGACCAUUUCUGACGCUGAGACACGAAAGCGUGGGUAGCAAACAGG